UACAGAGGGUGCGAGCGUUGUUCGGAAUUACUGGGCGUAAAGCGCGCGCAGGCGGCUCUUUAAGUCCACUGGUCAAAUGCCGGGGCUCAACCCCGUGCCCGCCAGGGAUACUGGAGAGCUGGAGACAUGUAGAGGCAAGCGGAAUUCCGGGUGUAGCGGUGGAAUGCGUAGAGAUCCGGAAGAACACCGGAGGCGAAGGCGGCUUGCUGGGCAUGGUCUGACGCUGAGGCGCGAAAGCGUGGGGAGCGAACAGG
rnacentral:rRNA from 1 species